rnacentral:rRNA from 1 species
UACGUAGGGGGCGAGCGUUGCUCGGAAUUACUGGGCGUAAAGGGUCCGUAGGCGGUGGGGUAAGUCGACGGUAAAAUCUCCCGGCUUAACUGGGAGGGGCCCGCCGAAACUGCCUGACUUGAGGGCCGGAGGGGCGAGUGGAAUUACCGGUGUAGCGGUGAAAUGCGUAGAUCUCGGUAGGAACACCGGAGGCGAAAGCGGCUCGCUGGACGGCACCUGACGCUGAGGGACGAAAGCUGGGGGAG